UUUAGUAUUACCCAUCACUUUUUUCGUAAUGUUAAUUUCCCAUAGGCCUCUGGGAGUUAUUGUUACUGUUAAUGCAUGUGUACCACGUGACUAAGAAUUUUGUACUGUUACAUAGGUAACAGUAUUUUUUAACAGCAUAAAAUCUGGUCACUCACGUGGUCUAUUUUCUAAAUAAAAUGAAAUAAAAUGGCCGCCAUUUUUCUCUCCAUUCAUUCUUAUUUUCGACGAUAGGGCCUAGGGCAUCACCAAAGUUACUAUGACUCUCAUAAAAUUCAGUUCUUUGCACCCUACUGUAGAGUUCUUUUCGCGUAUAAAAUAUCUUUUUGUUGAAUAGUCAAAAAGUAAACAACUGAAGUAUCGAUAAUUGUAGUGUGAAACUGGAACAUGCAGACGAUUAAAGCAUGCAAGAAAGGAUUAUUUAACAAUUUUAACCAGUGAAACGUUACAGAUAUAGUUGGUGGACAGACACCUAUCAUCGUUAUUCACCGUGGGUAAGCAAUUUUGGUCACGUGACCCCAAAAGUCAACGUACACGGCCAAAAUGAGCCAAAAUAGCUCGGCUAAGACAAAAAUAUUUGGAGAUACUCACACUUAUAAAUGAUUUGCUGAACAACCACAUUCUGAACAAGGGAUCAUCCAUUUGAUAGCGAAGAACGGGCAUGCACCGAUAAAAGGGCAAUAUACGGAACAGUGUCCACAAACAGAAAUGCAGUACAGAAAGGAAGUCUCGGGGUGCGAUGGGAGGGAGCUCGUAGAAAUGAGUUUAAAAUACUUUUAAGUGACAAAAUGGGACUUACUUGAAUAACUUCAAAUUGCAUUGUAGCCCAAUAAUAUGUUAUUUCUUUGGGAUUUAUUUGCGGUUAUUUAGCUACAAAAAUGUCUUGUCUAAAGUAAUAUAUUAUUGUAAAGAAAAUAAAAUCUU